rnacentral:lncRNA from 1 species
AUGAGGUUAAUGGUGUGUGGCAUGGACAAUUGAAGGACGUCAUUGGUGUCAAUGAUUAGUUGAAUAAAUGGUGGUUAUGGUGUUUGAUAACCUCAUGUUUGUUGCAUGUUUGUUUGUUUUGAUGUUUGUGCGUAUUGACUAUGGUAAGAGGAAGUGUUGGUGUUAUAUGCUUCUUGGAUGUUUUGGAUAUGGUAUGAUGUGUUGGGGGUAUAUGGAUGUUGGGUAUCUUGAUAAUAAUCAUCUUAUUGACGGUGGUAUGGGGUAUGUAUGCUAUUGGUAUUGUGGUUGAGUGUCUAGUAUGUUUUGGUUGUGGGUUUGUGUGUUUGUGGGUCGGUAAUUUUGUAGAGCAAAAAUAAAUUAGAUUAUAAAAUGGAUAAUGUUAAAAAUAAAUUAUUAUGAAUUGAUUUGUUUAGUGGCAAUAAAUUGUCUGGUUUAAGAUAAUCGAAGAGAUUGAGAUAUUGAAUGAUACUAGGGACAUAAUCAGUUCGGUUUGGCCGGUUUUUGGUCAAAAAUUGUCUGAACCGAUGAUAUCUCCAUCGGUUUGGUUCAUUUGGGUUUUAGUAUUUUUUAAAAAUGGAACCAAACCAAACUAAUUGAUUUGGUUCAGUUUGGUUGAUCGAUUUACAACACUUUUUUCUAAACACUAUAUUCAUCUAUAUAUUAUUUGCUAUCAUGUUUUAAUGUAUUUUAUCUUAUUAUUUUUUCAAAUAAUACAUUUCAUAUAAUAUAUUUGAUGCUCUAUUUUUUAAACAACUUACAAGUUUUUCUUAAUCAAUACGAAACAUUGACAUGAUUUUUUAUUGCAUAAUGAAAUAAGUUUCCUAUAAAAUACAAAAGUUGACACUUGACAUAAAAAGGUUGGGAAGGGGUUUGAAAGGUUAACAAAUAAAACACAACAAUAAAAACAAAAGGUUUCAAUACACGCAAACUAACAUGUUUCACAUCUCAAACAUACAUCAAAACUAUUUUGUAACUAGACUAUAAGGAAAUUCGUUGAAGAAGAAACAUAAAAGGUAAAAAAAAUGAAAACUAACAAAGAGAGCUUGAACAUAAAUAAGGCA